rnacentral:rRNA from 1 species
AUUGAACGCUGGCGGCAUGCCUUACACAUGCAAGUCGAACGGCAGCACGGGUGCUUGCACCUGGUGGGGAGUGGCGGACGGGGGCGUAAUACAUCGGCACCGGUCCUGUAGUUGGGGAUGGGGCGGCGGAAGCCGGAUUAAUACUGCAAACGAACUCCAGCUGAAGGUGAGGGAACUGCAGCUCUGGCGCUUGCGCGUUGGACGAUGUCUGAUUAGGUAGUUGGUGGGGUAAAGGCCUACCAAGGCGACGAUCCGUAGCUGGUCUGAGAGGAUGAGCAGCCACACUGGAACUGAGACACGGUCCAGACUCCUACGGGAGGCAGCAGUGGGGAAUUUUGGACAAUGGGCGAAAGCCUGAUCCAGCAAUGCCGCGUGGGUGAAGAAGGCCUUCGGGUUGUAAAGCACUUUUGUCCGGAAAGAAAUCCUGGGCGCUAAUACAGUCGGGGGAUGACGGUACCGGAAGAAUAAGCACCGGCUAACUACGUG